rnacentral:rRNA from 1 species
GAUGAACGCUGGCGGCGUGCCUAAUACAUGCAAGUCGAGCGAACAGACGAGGAGCUUGCUCCUCUGACGUUAGCGGCGGACGGGUGAGUAACACGUGGAUAACCUACCUAUAAGACUGGGAUAACUUCGGGAAACCGGAGCUAAUACCGGAUAAUAUAUUGAACCGCAUGGUUCAAUAGUGAAAGACGGUUUUGCUGUCACUUAUAGAUGGAUCCGCGCCGCAUUAGCUAGUUGGUAAGGUAACGGCUUACCAAGGCGACGAUGCGUAGCCGACCUGAGAGGGUGAUCGGCCACACUAGAACUGAGACACGGUCCAGACUCCUACGGGAGGCAGCAGUAGGGAAUCUUCCGCAAUGGGCGAAAGCCUGACGGAGCAACGCCGCGUGAGUGAUGAAGGUCUUCGGAUCGUAAAACUCUGUUAUUAGGGAAGAACAAAUGUGUAAGUAACUAUGCACGUCUUGACGGUACCUAAUCAGAAAGCCACGGCUAACUGCGUG